AGGGAUCAUUACACAAAUAUGAAGGCGGGCUGGAACCUCUCGGGGUUACAGCCUUGCUGAAUUAUUCACCCUUGUCUUUUGCGUACUUCUUGUUUCCUUGGUGGGUUCGCCCACCACUAGGACAAACAUAAACCUUUUGUAAUUGCAAUCAGCGUCAGUAACAAAUUAAUAAUUACAACUUUCAACAACGGAUCUCUUGGUUCUGGCAUCGAUGAAGAACGCAGCGAAAUGCGAUAAGUAGUGUGAAUUGCAGAAUUCAGUGAAUCAUCGAAUCUUUGAACGCACAUUGCGCCCUUUGGUAUUCCAAAGGGCAUGCCUGUUCGAGCGUCAUUUGUACCCUCAAGCUUUGCUUGGUGUUGGGCGUCUUGUCUCUAGCUUUGCUGGAGACUCGCCUUAAAGUAAUUGGCAGCCGGCCUACUGGUUUCGGAGCGCAGCACAAGUCGCACUCUCUAUCAGCAAAGGUCUAGCAUCCAUUAAGCCUUUUUUUCAACUUUUGACCUCGGAUCAGGUAGGGAUACCCGCUGAACUUAAGCAUAUCAAUAAGCGGAGGAAAAGAAACCAACAGGGAUUGCCCUAGUAACGGCGAGUGAAGCGGCAACAGCUCAAAUUUGAAAUCUGGCUCUUUUAAAGUCCGAGUUGUAAUUUGCAGAGGGCGCUUUGGCUUUGGCAGCGGUCCAAGUUCCUUGGAACAGGACGUCACAGAGGGUGAGAAUCCCGUACGUGGUCGCUGGCUAUUGCCGUGUAAAGCCCCUUCGACGAGUCGAGUUGUUUGGGAAUGCAGCUCUAAAUGGGAGGUACAUUUCUUCUAAAGCUAAAUAUUGGCCAGAGACCGAUAGCGCACAAGUAGAGUGAUCGAAGGAUGAAAAGCACUUUGGAAAGAGAGUCAAACAGCACGUGAAAUUGUUGAAAGGGAAGCGCUUGCAGCCAGACUUGCUUACAGUUGCUCAUCCGGGUUUCUACCCGGUGCACUCUUCUGUAGGCAGGCCAGCAUCAGUUUGGGCGGUAGGAUAAAGGUCUCUGUCACGUACCUCCUUUCGGGGAGGCCUUAUAGGGGAGACGACAUACUACCAGCCUGGACUGAGGUCCGCGCAUCUGCUAGGAUGCUGGCGUAAUGGCUGUAAGCGGCC
rnacentral:rRNA from 1 species